GCUUUUCUCUGCUUUUGUGUCAAAAGAGAAGAAGGGAGUUUGGAGAGGGAAAGGAAUUCUGUUCAAUACUAAGCUCUCUUCCUCAAAAUCAGAGGUCGAGGCUGAGCUGGAGUUAAUCUGUGGCGACAUGCUGGAGGUACUAGACAAACACCUCAUUCCAGCAGCUACCACUGCCCCCAUUCACUGGGGAGAAUGGAAAGAAAACAACUGACAACAUCCUCAAAUGUAAACUCAAUUUGCCUCCCUACCUCACACAAGAAGCCAGAGAUCUGCUUAAAAAGGCUCAUCCAUUCUUUAGACACAUUAACUGGGAAGAACUUCUGGCUGGAAAGGUGGAGCCCCCCCCCCCUUUAAACCUCUGUUGGUAAGUAUACAUGAAAGCAUAUAAUUGGGUGCAAGGGCUCAUACCUGUAAUCCCAAAACUUUAAAGGGC